ensembl:snRNA U6 U6 spliceosomal RNA
GUGUCUCCUACGGCAGCACAUAUACUAAAAUUGGAUCGAUACAGAGAAGAUUAGCAUGGCCCCUGCAAAAGGAUGACACGCAAAUCCGUGAAGCGCUCCAAGCCUUU